UGGCGAAGCGCAUACGGCUUCGGCGGCACUCUGCGGCCGCGGCGGGUAUUGCAGCAGCAUAGAGACGACAGCGGUCAGAGGGCGUCCUGUACCUAUUAAUAAAACACCAAGGUACUGCAACUUGCAGCGCUGGUGCUUUGUUAUCCAGCUGUCCAUGUUGACAUGAAUCUAAUGUGGCACAGACUGGCUUUGGCACACAAAUCCUUCUUAAGGAGCAGUUGCAAGACUAUUUUCAUUGACAUUUAACUUUAAUUCAAGUGUCAGUUUGUCCUCACAGUGCCUCUCUUCGUCAUGCAGUUUCUGGGUCUCCUCUGAUAAGACUGAUCAAUCACAGGCAAAAUGAUCUCCAGAGAUGUCUUCAUGAUGUACUAUUUAAACACAUGGUGAACAAACAGCCAAAACUCCACGCAAACUUGAUGGACCAAUUGUCAAUCAAAAGGUUGAGCUUAUGUGCACCCAACAAACUAAUAGCAGAACAUCAGCUCCCUUCUUUUACAACCCAUUGCAAGCACUAGAUCUGUGGUCUCUAUGGGCUUAGUGCUCUCAGCCUGACCAUAACUUAUGCUCCAUAUCAGGUGUGGCCGUAACAAAAACUGGAGAGAUCCCAUUUACUCCGAAAAGCAAUCUGGUGCUGGACUGGACAAGUGGAAGACUGUCUGUAACAGAGUUAGACGAGGGUGUCACAAGUCCAAACAUUGCUAAGGUAAAGCAAGGUGCACAAACAAGAGAGACCUAUGUAGAAGCAGUACCUCCCGCAAGAAGGUGCAACCAAAUUGAAGAAGGAGAGGAGCUUCUUAACAAAAGAAAGAAAAAGAACAGCUGAACAUCCUUCCAUGCGUGCCAGAGGAAGCUGACCCAGAAGGAUUGAGACAAAGCAUCACCUACAGCUGGUGUCAACAAAGACCAAACCAUAAAUAGACCUACUUAAAUUCUGAGAACUGCUGUGACUUAGUAGUUUGGAUAAAGUCAGCUAAUGUAUUCUGGGUAUUGGCAUCCUGGGCGAAGGGUAUGUUUGUAGUGGUUAGUUCCUGUUUAUAAAUUCAGUAGGAGGGCUCAGACCAGCGUCUCUCUCUCUCUCUCGCGCACACACACACACACACACACAUACACACACACACACACACACACACACACAGAAGAGUUGUGUGUAGAGGGGUAAACCAGUGCAAACUAGUUGUGAGCAAAUCAACACCACCAUCGCCGUGCAAGAGCUACAAACUUAAUGACU